UAGGGAAUCUUCGGCAAUGGACGAAAGUCUGACCGAGCAACGCCGCGUGAGUGAAGAAGGUUUUCGGAUCGUAAAACUCUGUUGUUAGAGAAGAACAAGGACGUUAGUAACUGAACGUCCCCUGACGGUAUCUAACCAGAAAGCCACGGCUAACUACGUGCCAGCAGCCGCGGUAAUACGUAGGUGGCAAGCGUUGUCCGGAUUUAUUGGGCGUAAAGCGAGCGCAGGCGGUUGCUUAAGUCUGAUGUGAAAGCCCCCGGCUCAACCGGGGAGGGUCAUUGGAAGAUGGGAGACUUGAGUGCAGAAGAGGAGAGUGGAAUUCCAUGUGUAGCGGUGAAAUGCGUAGAUAUAUGGAGGAACACCAGUGGCGAAGGCGGCUCUCUGGUCUGUAACUGACGAUGAGGCUCGAAAGCGUGGGGAGCAAACAGG
rnacentral:rRNA from 1 species